GAUGAAGAACGUAGCGAAAUGCGAUAAUUAAUGUGAAUUGCAGAAUUUAGUGAAUCAUCGAAUCUUUGAACGCACAUUGCGCCCGCCAGUAUUCUGGCGGGCAUGCCUGUUCGAGCGUCAUUACAACCCUCAGGCCCCCGGGCCUGGCGUUGGGGAUCGGCGGAGCCCCCCGUGGGCACACGCCGUCCCCCAAAUACAGUGGCGGUCCCGCCGCAGCUUCCAUCGCGUAGUAGCUAACACCUCGCGACUGGAGAGCGGCGCGGCCACGCCGUAAAACACCCAACUCUUCUGAAGUUGACCUCGAAUCAGGUAGGAAUACCCGCUGAACUUAAGCAUAUCAAUAAGCGGAGGA
rnacentral:misc_RNA from 1 species